rnacentral:lncRNA from 1 species
AAUCUCAUUAACCACCAUAAAAAACAAGGGUAAAAAUGUCUAAUUAAAAUGAUAAAAAAUAAAAUGAUUUGUUGGAAAAUAAAAUAAAUGUUUGAUGAGAAAAAGUAUGUACAAAAAUAUUGGAUUAAAAAGAAAUAAAUGAUAAAGGAAAAAAAUAAAUAAAAUGGAAAGAAAAUAAAUAAAAUAAAAUAAGAAAUAAGAAAUAAAAGGGACAAGAAAGAAAAAAAGAACAAUAGGGGCGCUGGGGGUUAAACCCCUGACCUUGGGGUCCUAGGUCACCCCCCUUUCCACUGGGCUAAGCGCCCUUGGUGUUAACUAGCAUGCUUAAUAAAACUAAAUAAUAAACCUCAAUCAGAAAUAACACAUGGGAUUUCCAUGACCACAUGAUCAGAUCACUUAAAGUAAGGAAGCGAGAUGGAUGCUUAUGUUCCUAGGGAAC